UCCUGAAGUAGAGUCCACUGAUCUUAGGC
rnacentral:piRNA from 1 species